rnacentral:rRNA from 1 species
AAUCAUUUGCCCUAUAAUUGAGGGCUAGUAUGAAUGGUUUGACAUGAGCAUAGCUGUCUCCUUAAAAUUUUAUAAAAUUUGGUUUUUAGGUGAAGAAACCUAAAUUAAAUUGAAAGACAAGAAGACCCUAUCGAGCUUUAGAAUAGUUAAUUAAAAAAUAUAAAUAAAAUAAUUAAUUUUAAUUAAAAACUUUGGUUGGGGCGACUGAGGAACACACAAAGCUUCCUUAAUUAGACAAUGCUAAUAAGCGAUGAUCCAGAAAAUCUGAUUAAAAAAAUUAGUUACCGUAGGGAUAACAGCAUAAUCUUUUUUAAGAGCUCUUAUCGAAAAAAAGGUUUGU